GCCUACGGGGCGCAGCAGUGGGGGAUAUUGCACAAUGGGGGAAACCCUGAUGCAGCGACGCCGCGUGGGCGAAGAAGUAUUUCGGUAUGUAAAGCCCUAUCAGCAGGGAAGAAGAAAUGACGGUACCUGAGUAAGAAGCACCGGCUAAAUACGUGCCAGCAGCCGCGGUAAUACGUAUGGUGCAAGCGUUAUCCGGAUUUACUGGGUGUAAAGGGAGCGCAGGCGGCACGGCAAGCCCGAUGUGAAAGCCCGCGGCCCAACCGCGGGACUGCAUUGGGAACUACUGGGCUGGAGUGCCGGAGAGG
rnacentral:rRNA from 1 species